rnacentral:piRNA from 1 species
UGGAAGAUAUGGUCAUCACUCUGU